rnacentral:rRNA from 1 species
CAAUAGCGUAUAUUAAAGUUGUUGCAGUUAAAAAGCUCGUAGUUGGAUCUCGGGCGGCGGCCGGUGGUUCGGGUCCGCGCCCGCCUACCGCCGGCCGCACCCAACCGGCGGGACGCGACGGGUGCCCUUGACUGGGUCGCCCGGCGCACCCGCCCAGUUUACUUUGAAAAAAUUAGAGUGUUCAAGGCAGGCUUCAAUGCCUGGAUAUCGGCGCAUGGAAUGAUGGAACAGGACCUCGGUUCUAUUUUGUUGGUUUUCGGAAGUCGAGGUAAUGAUUGAGAGGGACAGACGGGGGCAUUCGUACUGCGGCGUUAGAGGUGAAAUUCUUGGAUCGCCGCAAGACGGACUACUGCGAAAGCAUUUGCCAAGAAUGUUUUCGUUAAUCAAGAACGAAAGUCAGAGGUU